GGGCAUUUAGUCUAGGGUAUGAUUCUCGCUUAGGGUGCGAGAGGUCCCGAGUUCAAUUCUCGGAAUUCCCC
rfam:Glycine soja cultivar W05 scaffold355_2, whole genome shotgun sequence.